rnacentral:rRNA from 1 species
AGUGAACGCUGGCGGUAGGCCUAACACAUGCAAGUCGAACGGCAGCAUAGUAAGAGCUUGCUCUUACGGGUGGCGAGUGGCGGACGGGUGAGGAAUACAUCGGAAUCUACUUUUUCGUGGGGGAUAACGUAGGGAAACUUACGCUAAUACCGCAUACGACCUACGGGUGAAAGCAGGGGAUCUUCGCACCUUGCGCGAUUGAAUGAGCCGAUGUCGGAUUAGCUAGUUGGCGGGGUAAAGGCCCACCAAGGCGACGAUCCGUAGCUGGUCUGAGAGGAUGAUCAGCCACACUGGAACUGAGACACGGUCCAGACUCCUACGGGAGGCAGCAGUGGGGAAUAUUGGACAAUGGGCGCAAGCCUGAUCCAGCCAUACCGCGUGGGUGAAGAAGGCCUUCGGGUUGUAAAGCCCUUUUGUUGGGAAAGAAAAGCAGCAGGUUAAUCCCCCGCUGUUCUGACGGUACCCAAAGAAUAAGCACCGGCUAACUUCGUG